rnacentral:pre_miRNA from 1 species
AGGAGAAUAGCUGGGUCAAAUAGUGGUUCCACUCCAAGUUUUCUAAGGAAUCUCCAUACUGCUUUCCAGGAUUGGCUGCACCAAUUUGCAGUCCCACCAGCAAU